rnacentral:rRNA from 1 species
GACGAACGCUGGCGGCGUGCCUAAUACAUGCAAGUCGAACGCAGUGGGGACGGGUGAGUAACACGUGGGUAACCUCCCAUCAGAGGGGAUAACACUUGGAAACAGGUGCUAAACCGAUACUGAUGGAUGGACCCGCGGUGCAUUAGCUAGUUGGUGAGGUAACGGCUCACCAAGGCCACGAGGCAUAGCCGACCUAGGAGGGGGAGCGGCCACAUGUUGACGGAGACACGGCCCAGACUCCUACGGGGGGCAGACGUAGGGAAUCUUCGGCAAUUGACGAAAGUCUGACCGAGCAACGCCUCGUGAGUGAAGAAGGUUUUCGGAUCGUAAAACUCUGUUGUUAGAGGAGCGGUAGCUAACCAGAAUGCCACGGCUAACUACGUGCCGGCCGCCGCGGUAAUAC